rnacentral:rRNA from 1 species
GAUGAACGCUGGCGGCGUGCCUAAUACAUGCAAGUCGAGCGAACGGACGAGACGCUUGCUUUUCUGAUGUUAGCGGCGGACGGGUGAGUAACACGUGGAUAACCUACCUAUAAGACUGGGAUAACUUCGGGAAACCGGAGCUAAUACCGGGUAAUAUUUUGAACCGCAUGGUUCAAAAGUGAAAGACGGUCUUGCUGUCACUUAUAGCUGGAUCCGCGCUGCAUUAGCUAGUUGGUAAGGUAACGGCUUACCAAGGCAACGAUGCAUAGCCGACCUGAGAGGGGGAUCGGCCACACUAGAACUUAGACACGGUCCAGACUCCUACGGGAGGCAGCAGUAGGGAAUCUUCCGCAAUGGGCGAAAGCCUGACGGAGCAACGCCGCGUGAGUGAUGAAGGUCUUCGGAUCGUAAAACUCUGUUAUUAGGGAAGAACAUAUGUGUAAGUAACUGUGCACAUCUUGACGGUACCUAAUCAGAAAGCCACGGCUAACUACGUG